ensembl:lncRNA
GCAGGUCUCCCACAUGUUUGUGAUUUUCUCUUUAUUCAUGUUUUUAGUAAAUGUGCGUGACCUUCAGAGCCACCGUACUGCAGUGACAGCCUUCAGAGUAUAAUCCCAGUGUCCAGAUUACAGGCCGGCGUCUUUGCUCUGAAUGUUUCUCUGCGAUUCAUUUUCUGACAGCAGGAGAGUCUUUGUAGCGUCAGCGUGCCAUCAGGCAGAUGAAUGAGGCUAAACGUUUUCUUUAUCUGCCCCCCCGACACGCUCGGCAUGAUGGGAGGCGAUACGGCGUGGAGGGUUGGAGGCGUGAGGACGGGGGAGAGGUGAACGGCCAAUCAGCACCUGAGCGAACACCUGAGCAGAACUGUGCGGCGUUUCCGGCGCAGACGGCCAGGCGGACACUUCCCGCGCUGCUUUUUAAAAGCUGAAGGUGGACACAGGUAAACCUGACCGUUAAUCGUGUCAGAGAAUACUGAGAAAUAAAAGAUCAUGAUCACCACAAUUAUCUGACACAAGCGUGAU